AUUGAACGCUGGCGGCAGGCCUAACACAUGCAAGUCGAGCGGAUGAAGGGAGCUUGCUCCUGGAUUCAGCGGCGGACGGGUGAGUAAUGCCUAGGAAUCUGCCUGGUAGUGGGGGAUAACGUCCGGAAGCGGGCGCUAAUACCGCAUACGUCCUGAGGGAGAAAGUGGGGGAUCUUCGGACCUCACGCUAUCAGAUGAGCCUAGGUCGGAUUAGCUAGUUGGUGGGGUAAAGGCCUACCAAGGCGACGAUCCGUAACUGGUCUGAGAGGAUGAUCAGUCACACUGGAACUGAGACACGGUCCAGACUCCUACGGGAGGCAGCAGUGGGGAAUAUUGGACAAUGGGCGAAAGCCUGAUCCAGCCAUGCCGCGUGUGUGAAGAAGGUCUUCGGAUUGUAAAGCACUUUAAGUUGGGAGGAAGGGCAGUAAGUUAAUACCUUGCUGUUUUGACGUUACCAACAGAAUAAGCACCGGCUAACUUCGU
rnacentral:rRNA from 1 species